rnacentral:rRNA from 1 species
AGCCGAGCGCCUAAAAUGCAAGCUUGAUCGCAACUACCAAAAGGCCGAUAACAUUCAGCACAUGAUGUGGGAUGCAGGAGUGAGGAUUCAUGAUGGCAGGAAGCAGUGGCGAUAUGAUGGUGGAUCCUUUGCCGAUGAAGAUGGCGAUGGUAGUAGUAGAA